UAAGAAUAUCUAUUUAGAGAGACAGCUUGAUUUCCAUAUCCAAUGAAAUGCAUGUACAAUAGCCGUGCAGAUUUUUAAAAUUUUACCACAUCCUUGUAAAGUUUAAUAGUUUAACUUGAAUAUCAAAACCAGGCAAUUGUAAAACAAAGCAUUUGACGGCAGGAAUGUCAAAAACCAUUGUGUAUAAACAUCCUCAACAUUUUUAAGAACAAUUGAUACCACAAACUGACUUGUGCACUUCACCAUAUAUAACAUAUGCAUCUGGUAUGCUGCACAUAAUGAAAGCAACCGCCAUGCUUAAAUAAAUUAAAUUAUAUACAAGAAUAUGAACAAGUUAAUCAGCACAAAUAUGUUUGUACAUUUCAGAAAUACACCCUCGGCUAUGAUAAUUUAAUCCAGCCAGGAUAACGCGUGUAUAUAUACAUGAGAUAGUGCUUUGAUUGCCAACAAGAAUAUUGUACUUUGGCAGAAAUGAACCAUAAAAACAAAUCCAUGUAAUCUUCAGCUUGUUCACUGUGCACUGAGUAGCUGAUCAACUGAUAAACCAGGCUGCUUCGAGAAGACAAUAGCGCCGUCUACAGUGCCAACUUUGUACCUGAGCACAUUGUCAUCCGUGACGAUCCUGCAUGAUCCCCGCGACUCGGAAUGCAUGCUGAUGCCAAGAUAGUGGAUAUGGUCUUGCACGCUAUUUCCACUGACGGACCUG
rnacentral:lncRNA from 1 species